AAUGUACGGCCUCGUAGGGUGACCUGCGGAAGGUCAUUAUUGAAUUUUUUGGUGGUGGAUUGUUGCUGGCCUUUGGGUAUGUGCACAUCCUCCUCCGAUUUUUAUUCAUCCACCUGUGCACUUUUUGUAGGAGUUCUUUCAUCGGGUUUUUGAAGGUGCUCAUUAUGAGUUACUUGAAAAGACUAGUUGACAAGGCUUCUAUGUUCUUAUAAACCAUUGAAGUAUGUUAUAGAAUGAUCUUGUUAUUGGGACUUUAUUGACCCUUUAAACUUAAUACAACUUUCAGCAACGGAUCUCUUGGCUCUCCCAUCGAUGAAGAACGCAGCGAAAUGCGAUAAGUAAUGUGAAUUGCAGAAUUCAGUGAAUCAUCGAAUCUUUGAACGCACCUUGCGCCCUCUGGUAUUCCGGAGGGCAUGCCUGUUUGAGUGUCAUUAAAUUCUCAACUUUAUAAGUUUUUACUUAUUAAAGCUUGGAUGUUGGAGGCUUGCAGGCGUUUGUCAGCUCCUCUUAAAUUUAUUAGUGGGAACCCUGUUUUGUUAGUUCUAACCUUGGUGUGAUAAUUAUCUACAUUUUGGUGGAACCUUACAAUAAUAAAGCUCUAUUGGUUUGGGUUGUUGCAUUUAGUUUGCUCAAUCUGUUCUAUUCAUUGGAGAAAAAGGGAAGUUCCGCUUUCUAACUGUCUUGAUUGACUAUAUAUAACUUAUUUGCUUGACCUCAAAUCAGGUAGGAUUACCCGCUGAACUUAAGCAUAUCAAUAAGCGGAGGAAAAGAAACUAACAAGGAUUCCCCUAGUAACUGCGAGUGAAGAGGGAAAAGCUCAAAUUUAAAAUCUGGCAGUCUCUGAUUGUCCGAGUUGUAAUUUAGAGAAGUGUUACCCGUGCUGGACCGUCAAC
rnacentral:rRNA from 1 species